AGCUGACAUAAUGGCCAUAGCAAACGCGUUCACGUCACGGCCCCUGUCAGAGUCUAAUGAAUCUGCUAAAUCCUGCU
rnacentral:ribozyme from 1 species